GGAUGUAGCCAAGUGGAUCAAGGCAGUGGA
rnacentral:ncRNA from 2 species